GACGUAGGGCGCGAGCGUUGUCCGGAUUUAUUGGGCGUAAAGAGCUCGUAGGCGGCUUGUCGCGUCGACUGUGAAAACCCGUGGCUCAACCAUGUGGAUCUGCAGUCGAUACGGGCAGGCUAGAAUUCGGUAGGGGAGACUGGAAUUCCUGGUGUAGCGGUGAAAUGCGCAGAUAUCAGGAGGAACACCGGUGGCGGAAGGCGGGUCUCUGGGCCGAUAUUGACGCUGAGGAGCGAAAGCGUGGGGAGCGAACAGG
rnacentral:rRNA from 1 species